GAUGAACGCUGGCGGUAUGCCUAACACAUGCAAGUCGAACGGAGUACUUUCGGGUACUUAGUGGCGGACGGGUGAGUAACGCGUGAGAAUCUGCCUUCAGGAUGGGGACAACAGCGAGAAAUUGCUGCUAAAACCCAAUGUGCCGAGAGGUAAAUACUUGUAGCCUGAAGAGGAGCUCGCGUCCGAUUAGUUAGUUGGUGGGGUAAGAGCCUACCAAGGCAGCGAUCGGUAGCUGGUCUGAGAGGAUGAGCAGCCACACUGGGACUGAGACACGGCCCAGACUCCUACGGGAGGCUG
rnacentral:rRNA from 1 species